rnacentral:rRNA from 1 species
UACGUAGGGUGCGAGCGUUGUCCGGAAUCAUUGGGCGUAAAGCGCACGUAGGCGGUCUGGUAAGUCGGAUGUGAAAUCCCUCGGCUCAACCGAGGAAGUGCAUUCGAAACUGUCAGACUUGAAUAUGGAAGAGGGUCGCGGAAUUCCCGGUGUAGAGGUGAAAUUCGUAGAUAUCGGGAGGAACACCAGUGGCGAAGGCGGCGACCUGGGCCAAUAUUGACGCUGAGGUGCGAAAGCGUGGGGAGCAAACAGG